rnacentral:rRNA from 1 species
AGUGAACGCUGGCGGUAGGCCUAACACAUGCAAGUCGAACGGCAGCACAGUAAGAGCUUGCUCUUACGGGUGGCGAGUGGCGGACGGGUGAGGAAUACAUCGGAAUCUACUUUUUCGUGGGGGAUAACGUAGGGAAACUUACGCUAAUACCGCAUACGACCUACGGGUGAAAGCAGGGGAUCUUCGGACCUUGCGCGAUUGAAUGAGCCGAUGUCGGAUUAGCUAGUUGGCGGGGUAAAGGCCCACCAAGGCGACGAUCCGUAGCUGGUCUGAGAGGAUGAUCAGCCACACUGGGACUGAGACACGGUCCAGACUCCUACGGGAGGCAGCAGUGGGGAAUAUUGGACAAUGGGCGCAAGCCUGAUCCAGCCAUACCGCGUGGGUGAAGAAGGCCUACGGGUUGUAAAGCCCUUUUGUUGGGAAAGAAAAGCAGCAGGUUAAUACCCCGCUGUUCUGACGGUACCCAAAGAAUAAGCACCGGCUAACUUCGUG